rfam:Ictidomys tridecemlineatus contig145984, whole genome shotgun sequence.
GGUUGUGGCUCAGUGGUUGAGCACUUGCCUGAUAUGUAUGAGGCACUGGGUUCAAAUCUGAGCACCACCU